rnacentral:rRNA from 1 species
GACGUAGGGCGCGAGCGUUGUCCGGAUUUAUUGGGCGUAAAGAGCUCGUAGGCGGCUUGUCGCGUCGAAUGUGAAAUCUCAGGGCUCAACUCUGACAUUGCAUUCGAUACGGGCAGGCUAGAGUUCGGUAGGGGAGAGCUGGAAUUCCGUGGUGUAGCGGUGAAAUGCGCAGAUAUCAGGAGAACACCGUGGCGAAGGCGGCUCUG